rnacentral:rRNA from 1 species
GACGAACGCUGGCGGCGUGCUUAACACAUGCAAGUCGAACGAUGAAGCCGGAGCUUGCUCUGGUGAAUUAGUGGCGAACGGGUGAGUAACACGUGAGUAACCUGCCCUUGACUCUGGGAUAACUGCGGGAAACUGUAGCUAAUACCGGAUACGAACCUCGGAGGCAUCUCCUGGGGGGUGGAAAGAAUUUCGGUCAAGGAUGGACUCGCGGCCUAUCAGCUAGUUGGUGAGGUAAAGGCUCACCAAGGCGACGACGGGUAGCCGGCCUGAGAGGGGGACCGGCCACACUGGGACUGAGACACGGCCAAGGAUCCUACGGGAGGCAGCAGUGGGGAAUAUUGCACAAUGGGCGCAAGCCUGAUGCAGCAACGCCGCGUGAGGGAUGUCGGCCUUCGGGUUGUAAACCUCUUUUAGCAGGGAAGAAGCGAAAGUGACGGUACCUGCAGAAAAAGCACCGGCUAACUACGUGCCAGCCGCCGCCGUAA